UACAGAGGGUGCGAGCGUUAAUCGGAAUUACUGGGCGUAAAGCGUGCGUAGACGGUUAUUUAAGUCGGGUGUGAAAGCCCCGGGCUCAACCUGGGAAUUGCAUUCGAGACUGAAUAGCUAGGGUACGGUAGAGGGAAGUGGAAUUUCCGGUGUAGCGGUGAAAUGCGUAGAUAUCGGGAGGAACACCAAUGGCGAAGGCAGCUCGCUGGGACGUUACUGACGCUGAGACGCGAAAGCGUGGGGAGCAAACAGG
rnacentral:rRNA from 1 species